rnacentral:rRNA from 1 species
UACGGGGGGGGCAAGCGUUGUUCGGAAUUACUGGGCGUAAAGCGCACGUAGGCGGCUUUGUAAGUUAGAGGUGAAAGCCCGGGGCUCAACUCCGGAAUUGCCUUUAAGACUGCAUCGCUAGAAUUGUGGAGAGGUAAGUGGAAUUCCGAGUGUAGAGGUGAAAUUCGUAGAUAUUCGGAAGAACACCAGUGGCGAAGGCGACUUACUGGACACAUAUUGACGCUGAGGUGCGAAAGCGUGGGGAGCAAACAGG